GAUUGAAACGACUGCUAAGACUGGAUAGGAAACAAAAAGGCAUCUUUUUGUUUUUAAAAGACCUUCUUACGAAGGUAUGCUUAAAGAGGGGCUUGCGCCACAUUAGUUAGUUGGUAGGGUAAAAGCCUACCAAGACGAUGAUGUGUAGCUGGACUGAGAGGUUGAACAGCCACAUUGGGACUGAGACACGGCCCAAACUCCUACGGGAGGCAGCAGUAGGGAAUUUUCGGCAAUGGAGGAAACUCUGACCGAGCAACGCCGCGUGAACGAUGAAGUAUUUCGGUAUGUAAAGUUCUUUUAUUGAAGAAGAAAAAGUAGUGGAAAAACUAUAUUGACGUUAUUCAAUGAAUAAGCCCCGGCUAACUAUGUGCCAGCAGCCGCGGUAAGACAUAGGGGGCGAGCGUUAUCCGGAAUUAUUGGGCGUAAAGGGUGCGUAGGCUGUUAGAUAAGUCUAUAAUUUAAUUUCAGUGCUUAACGCUGUCUUGUUAUAGAAACUGUCUUGACUAGAGUGAGAUAGAGGCAAGCGGAAUUCCAUGUGUAGCGGUAAAAUGUGUAAAUAUAUGGAGGAACACCAGAAGCGUAGGCGGCUUGCUGGGUCUUUACUGACGCUGAGGCACGAAAGCGUGGGUAGCAAACAGGAUUAGAUACCCUGGUGGUCCACGCCGUAAACGAUGAGUACUAAGUGUCGGGGUAAAACUCGGUACUGAAGUUAACACAUUAAGUACUCCGCCUGAGUAGUACGUACGCAAGUAUGAAACUUAAAGGGAUUGACGGGACUCCGCACAAGCGGUGGAUCAUGUUGUUUAAUUCGAAGAUACACGAAAAAUCUUACCAGGUCUUGACAUACUCUGCAAAGCUAUAGAAAUAUAGUGGAGGUUAUCAGGGAUACAGGUGGUGCAUGGUUGUCGUCAGUUCGUGUCGUGAGAUGUUAGGUUAAGUCCUAAAACGAGCGCAACCCUUGUCGUUAAUUGCCAGCACGUAAUGGUGGGGACUUUAGCGAGACUGCCAAUUAAACAUUGGAGGAAGGUGAGGAUUACGUCAAAUCAUCAUGCCCCUUAUGAUCUGGGCUACAAACGUGAUACAAUGGCUGUGACAAAGAGUAGCUGAAACGCGAGUUUUUAGCCAAUCUCAAAAAAGCAGUCUCAGUUCGGAUUGAAGUCUGUAACUCGACUUCAUGAAGUUGGAAUCGCUAGUAAUCGCGAAUCAGCAUGUCGCGGUGAAUACGUUCACGGGGUUUGUACACACCGCCCGUCAAAUC
rnacentral:rRNA from 1 species